rnacentral:rRNA from 1 species
GACGAACGCUGGCGGCGUGCUUAACACAUGCAAGUCGAACGGAAAGGCCCUGCCUUUGUGGGGUGCUCGAGUGGCGAACGGGUGAGUAACACGUGAGUAACCUGCCCUUGACUUUGGGAUAACUUCAGGAAACUGGGGCUAAUACCGGAUAGGAGCUCCUGCUGCAUGGAGGGGGUUGGAAAGUUUCGGCGGUUGGGGAUGGACUCGCGGCUUAUCAGCUUGUUGGUGGGGUAGUGGCUUACCAAGGCUUUGAAGGGUAGCCGGCCUGAGAGGGUGACCGGCCACAUUGGGACUGAGAUACGGCCCAGACUCCUACGGGAGGCAGCAGUGGGGAAUAUUGCACAAUGGGCGGAAGCCUGAUGCAGCAACGCCGCGUGCGGGAUGACGGCCUUCGGGUUGUAAACCGCUUUCGCCUGUGACGAAGCGUGAGUGACGGUAAUGGGUAAAGAAGCACCGGCUAACUACGUG